UGAACUUGCUAUCUACUGGUGUGUUCAUUCGCGAUUGGCGCUUCGUUGCAACCAUGGGGUUCUUCUCUUCCUCGUCGAUGCCAGCAAACUCAUAUAUGUCAUUUUUUUGGAACACUGGGUGCACAUAUGCAUCCUUCAGUCUAACCUGCAGGGGGAACUUUAUAAACGCUGGCUCAAAGCGGCCCUUGCAAACAUAGUGGAACCAUAUGGACAGUACAGGAAGAGGAAGAAGAGCAACAGUGGAUUUCUCUGCUUCCUGCGUGCUCAGCAGUCCCAACAGGAGGAUUUGUGAUACUAUCAAUGCUAUAACCAGUCGUCUUUGGACAUCUGGCCAGAAUUGCGCGCCACUCUCAUAUUGCUGAUUGUAGACAUUAAUGAUCUUGCAAAAAAGAAGCAGAAAAAAAGAUUAGCAGACCGUGCUAAGAGAAGAUUGAAGAAUGACCGGAAACGUAUGCUUCUGCCAUUGUGAAUGUGGCAAUAUGAUAAAAGGGUAUAUUUAAACUUGAAGGCAGACUAGUACCUGGUGUCUGAAUACUAGAUAGGCAAGGCUAAAGAACACUAUGAUGAAAGGUAGAAGAAUUGGUGUCACGACAGCAUAUACAAGCCCAAGCAGAAAGUACAGUUGUAUCCUUGGUUCUGUGGUGCCAAAAUCCAGGCUCCCAGGGUCCAUGGCCUGCUCUCGAUCUCGCUCGGUUCUGACCAAGAAAGUAUUCUUUAUAUGGAACAUGACCAAUGGCUUCAACCUAAGAACCUCAGCGGCAACACCAGCCCAGCCAUCAACCAUUACAUAUGUGAUGAAAAAUGUUGCUUUCAUGGGGAUGGAUUCUCCGACAAUCUCUGGAAUUCUUGUGAAAACAAAAGGCAAAAGGUGUCAAGAUUCAAAGGAAUGCAAAUGAACAUCCAGAACUGAACACGUCCAAGCAUAGCAGGGUGCUAACUCCAGGAGUCACACACCCAGCAGCAACACACUUUUAUGGGUUUAUCAAAAGGUUGAAGACAGCAAAAUGAAACAUUUUAAUGGUUGUACUCAAUUCCAACAUUCAGACAUUACUCCUUGUUCAAUGAUAAAGAAAUGUAGAAGGUUUCAGGAAAGGAAGCAUCCGUUCAAUGUCAUCCAAGUUUGCCAUUGAUUGGACAAUUGCAAUUGGAAUCAUGAAGAAAAAGGUCAGAAAGAAGAGUGCAACGGCCAUGAUAAGCCUCCGGACUGAGAGCUCGACGAAAGGGAUCGCGAGAUUAGGCCAGAAAACAUCCCGAGGUUCUGGGGCCCACUCGGUAAGCCACAACGUUGGAUUGCUCGUCUGUUGCGUUUGAGCGCAAACAGCAGCUCCCCACCGGCUUUUGAAAGAUACAAAUGCAGCUGGCAUAAUAGCAUUAGGAUCAGUGAUCACCUUGUGUCUCUCCUCAUCUUCCUGCAAUGCAAGUGUGCAAUUUCGUUUGGUAUUUUGAUUGUUACAGGGUAAAUAUAUGUUUAUCGAAGGAAAAUUGGUGGUCAA